rnacentral:tmRNA from 1 species
GGGGAUGAUCGGUUUCGACACUGUUCGUUACUCUGCGUGAAGCGGGUCGAGGAUGCGGGGUUAUCUCGUUAACGCCCCUCGCAACUAAUAGGUGCCAACGCUAAGCGCACCGACUUCGCCCUCGCUGCUUAAGCGAGCCUGAAGUCCGUCGGUCCGGAGUUGCGCUCGCUCCGAUCACCGGCGUCAAUUUGAGCGCUUGCUGCGCGGCUGUGUCUCAGGGCCGCGCGGGACUUUUUCUGAGACUGGGCUUGUCGACGAAGGUGCCUCACCCUCACGUCGGAGCCGAGUAGAACAUCAGUGAGGCUGCACCCGGAGAAUGCGCAGUCUUCCGGCAGUGGACGGGGGUUCGAUUCCCCCCAUCUCCACCA